UACGGAGGGUGCGAGCGUUGUCCGGAAUCACUGGGCGUAAAGGGCGCGUAGGCGGCGCGGGGGGUCAUCGGUGAAAGCUCGGCGCUCAACGCCGAGUCGGCCGUCGAUACUCCCGUGCUUGAGCACUGUAGAGGCAGGUGGAAUUCCGGGUGUAGCGGUGGAAUGCGUAGAGAUCCGGAAGAACACCGGUGGCGAAGGCGGGUCUCUGGGCAGUAACUGACGCUGAGGAGCGAAAGCGUGGGGAGCGAACAGG
rnacentral:rRNA from 1 species